rnacentral:rRNA from 1 species
UACGUAGGGUGCAAGCGUUGUCCGGAAUUAUUGGGCGUAAAGAGCUCGUAGGCGGCCUGUCGCGUCGGCUGUGAAAACCCGAGGCUCAACCUCGGGCCUGCAGUCGAUACGGGCAGGCUAGAGUUCGGUAGGGGAGACUGGAAUUCCUGGUGUAGCGGUGAAAAUGCGCAGAUAUCAGGAGGAACACCGGUGGCGAAGGCGGGUCUCUGGGCCGAAACUGACGCUGAGGAGCGAAAGCGUGGGGAGCGAACAGG